rnacentral:rRNA from 1 species
GAUGAACGCUGACAGAAUGCUUAACACAUGCAAGUCGAAUGGAACUUCGGUGUGGGUGGCGGACGGGUGAGUAACGCGUAAAGAACUUGCCUCACAGAUAGGGACAACAUUUGGAAACGAAUGCUAAUACCAGAUAGUAUGAUUAUAUGGCAUCGUAUAAUUAUGAAAGCUAUAUGCGCUGUGAGAGGGCUUUGCGGCCCAUUCGCUAGUUGGAGAGGUAACGGCUCACCAAGGCGAUGAUGGGUAGCCGGCCUGGGAGGGUGAUCGGCAACAAGGGGACUGAGUCCCGGCCCUUACUCCUCCGGGAGGCAGCGGUGGGGAAUAUUGGACAAUGGACCAAGAGUCUGAUCCAGCAGUUCUGUGUGCACGAUGAAGUUUUUCGGAAUGUAAAGUGCUUUCAGUUGGGAAGAAAAAAAUGACGGUACCAACAGAAGAAGCGACGGCUAACUACGUG